GCAGUGAUGGCCGAGUGGUUAAGGCCCGUUCUGACUAGAAAUCAGAUGGGAUCUUCCCGCGUAGGUUCGAAUCCUACUCGCUGCG